ensembl:snoRNA LOC120100493 small nucleolar RNA U3
AAUACUACACUUUCAGGGGUCAUUUCUAUAGUUUGUUACUAGAGAAGUUUCUCUGACUGUGUAAAAGCUGUAGAGACAAUGUGGUGGUUUGAGUAAGAAUAGCCCCAAUAGGCUCAUAUGUUUGAAUGCUUCAUCAUCAGAGAGUGGCACUACCUGA